rnacentral:lncRNA from 1 species
AUCAUUAUCCUCAUCCUCAUUAUCAUCAACAUCAUCAUCAUGAGAUACAUUAGGAUUCAAAGUAGGAGAUGCCUUUGAAGCCUUAGCCAUAAGGCAAAAGUGAGAAACAAUAGAUGAUGAUGUAGGAUCCUUUGUGGCAUCAUUCAAGGCCACAUCUUGUUCCAUGGAGUGGUGGAUUUCCUAUACAUUGUUAGCACAACAACUCUAGGAAAUAGAUACAUUUUUAUCAAGGCAACAAGAUAUAGAAAGCAUAUCAUCAUGAGAUUUAGUCAAUCAGUUUUUACAUGAUAUGCAAGGACUAUGAACACAAGCAUGUAAAACAUUUAGAGUUCUUGAAGUGAUAACACACAAAGAUGAAGCAUUUAAAUAAGAUAGUGAUGAAGGAUCAUCAUCAACAAGCCCAC